rnacentral:rRNA from 1 species
GACGAACCGUGCGAACGUUGUUCGGAAUCACUGGGCUUAAAGGGCGCGUAGGCGGGCUGCAAAGUCCGGGGUGAAAUCCUCCAGCUCAACUGGAGAACGGCCUCGGAUACGGGCGGUCUGGAGGGGGUAGGGGCGUGCGGAACUGUGGGUGGAGCGGUGAAAUGCGUUGAUAUCCACAGGAACUCCGGUGGCGAAGGCGGCACGCUGGACCCCACCUGGACGCUGAGGCGCGAAAGCGUGGGGAGCGAACAGG